rnacentral:rRNA from 1 species
GUAGGGAAUAUUGGACAAUGGGGGCAACCCUGAUCCAGCGACGCCGCGUGAGUGAUGAAGGCCUUCGGGUCGUAAAGCUCUGUUGCAGGGGAAGAACACAAUGACGGUACCCUGCUAGAAAGGAUCGGCUAACUUCGUGCCAGCAGCCGCGGUAAGACGAGGGAUCCUAGCGUUGUUCGGAAUUAUUGGGCGUAAAGCGGGUGCAGGUGGGUUGGUAAGUCAGAUGUGAAAGCCUGGGGCUUAACCACAGAAGUGCAUUUGAUACUGCUGAGCUUGAGUGCUGGAGAGGCUAUUAGAAUUCCUGGUGUAGUGGUGAAAUACGUAGAUAUCAGGAGGAAUACCGGAGGCGAAGGCGGAUAGCUGGCCAGACACUGACACUCAGACCCGAAAGCGUGGGGAUCAAACAGGAUUAGAUCCCGGGUAGUCC